CAAUGCAUUAUGCAUGUACAGGUAUUUAGUGGAAAUAUUGUUUCCCUUACUAUAAACCAUUUCUGCUUUGUAUAGUCAGCAUGUUUAAUGGGGAAUGUGAAAAGGGUAAUUUGUAUCUGCCUACCAGGUAAUCCAAUGGAAGGGUUUCAACUGAUGUCCAUAUUGGGACUCUCACCAAUAGAAAUGUAUAUUUCCUUUUCCUGCCACUGAAAUUUUUGAUACAAGAACCACUGCACAUAUAUAAGGGGUAGAUGCUAGAUUGUACCCAAUUAUUAUGAAUCCAAUUUGUAAAUUAUACUCUGGAAACCUUAUAGCUCAGUCCCACCCAAUUUUCUAACCAUUCCCUGCCCCCUCCCAUGUAAUAAUAAUCUUUAGUCCAGAUUGUACGUGUUCCUGGUGCUUAAUACCAAAAAUUACAACUAAUGUUUUUGGAAUGCUUAAUAUGUGCCAGAUAUUUUUCCAAGUUGUUCAUUUAGAUUUUCUAAUUCAUUUGAUUCUUGAAAUAAAUCUGUAGUUUGGGAACUGUCAUUUUCCCUCAUUUUAGAGAUAAGGAUUCUGUGGCACAGAGAAGUCAAAUCAUUUUCUCCACUUUACAGAGCUGACAAAAAGCAUAUCUGGGAUUUUCAUUCAGAGAGUACAGCUCCACCGUAUAUAUGAGGAUACACUACACUGCCCUACCCCAUAGUGUUUCUAGCAUUAUGGAUGUGCUUUAUUUUAUAUUAAUAAGUAAUCAUUGAAAUGUAGGCUCACCAAGGGAUCUGUGUUUUAUUCAAUAUUUGACCAAAUUCCUAGAACAGUCCCUGGCACAUAGUAGGUGAUCAGUUAAUAUAUAUUGCUGUUGUUAAAAUCAGAAAAUUGUGGAGGGUUUAACACAUGUUUUGUGCUACCAGCAUGGAGAAAGAGCAUGAGAAGUUCAUAUGAAAAGGCAGGAGAAUCUUUGCUCAUUUGGACAUCACUACAUCCCAUUCUGGAAUUUUCCCCAAGGAAAAUAAUUUUUUUAAGAGCAUUUAUUCGAACACCAGUGCUAUCAAGAAGGACAUUGUAGAGUCUGAGAAAGAGAAAUCCUCCAAACUGGAAGGGUCCCUGUGGUUGUGAGGAAAGGAAAUACAACAAUGCAUACCAGUGUGGACCUUGGGAGCUAAGUGCAGUUGGAAACAUGAUGCUUCAGCAGAUUGUAUGGAAAGAUGCUAAAGACCAAGGACCAAUGAAAUGAUAAGUUCCAUGACAAAGGACCACACCUCACCCUGUACUUCCCUACUCCUGGCAUAUUUAAUACCAUAUUAAACUUAAUAUGAGAGGACA